CGCAGGCAGACACCCAAACCUCCACCAUCUUCCUCAGGUUGCUGGGAGUAGUGCUAUUGGGGCUGCUAACUCUCUGAUGCCUGUGCUUAGUGGCUGUGUGGUGUUUAGGCCAUGACAGUAAAUGUAAAUCGUCGGGCCGACGAUUAAAAACCCAGGGGGUAGAUUGUAGUGAACCUCAGUAGGGGAUGCGAAUGCAACUCCGUCUUAGCUCCUCCCCCUGCACCGAGGUGCAAGAUAAAAGGGCCAAGAUGGCUGAACUCAGCCUCUGCUGGUUACCUCCUAGGGUGGAUUCCCUGCUGCUGUUUUGUACGGUUUUAGUUCUGUUUUUGCUGUGCUGUUGGUUUUGUCUUGGUUCUGUUUUGCUAUUUACUUUUGAUUGCUUUAGUUCAGUUUGCUUUUGUGUUAUUUCCCCUUUUUCUGUUUCAUUGUUUGACCAUUGGAUUGCUGGGUAACAUAACUCCUGUUUUGCUGUUUGGUUUGGAUUGGUUUUGUUCCAGUUUUCUUUAUUUAGUUAUGAUUAUUAUUGUAAUAAAAUAAACAGUUAGUAUAUUUAUUUUCUCUGCCUCUUUAGUUCUCGAACCUGUGUCAUUAUUUCUGUAAUAUCAUAGUUUAAUUUUCUUUGUUCUAUAUUUCCUGGGGUGUAAUUCCCCAGGUGGCGUUGUCGGUCCCUCUUUAGUUAUUUCCCCCUCCCCCCGUUCAUAUUAACUUUUACACUGAGCCCCGCCACACUUGUAUGUAUUUUAAUCAAUGUUGACCUUGUACUUGUAUUAUCUUUUAUAUGGAACUUUGAUUCUGGAAUGAAGUAUUCAUUCAUUCAUAUGGACUAAACAACCAGAUGGGUGGUUUUAAAUUUCGUUUCAACAAGAUUGUGCAAGAAAAGCGAAACACCGCUCACCUUGUAAUUCAGCAAAGAGUAAACAUUGAAAUACAAUGGCGCUUUAUGGAACAAACUUAAACUACGUUGGCGACAUUCCAUGCAAAUCGCAGGAAAACAGCGAUACAACAUGGUGGCCUGUCUAGGCAACAACCUUACAUGCAAAUUUCAUUUCCCAGGUGAAUUUACUGAUUAGAUGAAGUUGAUAAUGGAGAAGAAGCUACAGCCGUGUGAUUGUGUUCCUCUAACAAAGCUUGCAGGGAGUCUCGCCAGCGGCGUAACUGGACGUAGAAGCGCCACUGUGGAUCAUAUAUCUCUAUCAGCAAUCUCCUGCGACCCCGUAUGCAGAAAAGGAGACACCAAGUUGGGGAACCACUGCUGCAGAACCUGUUGAAAUCCUAUUUUGGUCCUCUCUGAUAAAUAGCAGAAUAUUACUUGCAUACUUGUAUUUAUGUAUAUGCAUUAUUACUUGCACUGAUCAUUUUAAAGCAAAUAUUUUACCUUCAAUUAUUCACGACAUCGAUCAACUAUUUGAUCAUAUUCUCCACUUGUAGACAAAGAUUAUUCGUAAAUCUGGUUGCAGUGUCGACACCUGAGUGCAAGAUUUUGUUGGUACUGGGAGAUGAUUUUGGCAUGCGCCAAUACAUUUCUUCCAUUGUAUUGGAUGAAAAUAUUCUGUCAGGGGGGUUGAAUGCUAUCGCAAGGUACUGUCUGCCCCCAAUGUCAUUGGGGCAGAGCCCCCUAAGGUCUGAUCCUAAUCACCCCUUCAUACACAUGGGCUCCAAGGCCUCUGGCUAGCAGAUGAACCACACUCCCUUCAUAGGUCCACACCAGCGCUCUUUGUUCAUCCACACAGAUAACAAACAAUAACGUUCUUGUCACACAGUACUUCCCUUUUCAGUGGUUUUUCAUAUGUACUUGUCUUCUCCACUCCGAUAUCCUCAGAGAACAAUAGAAGACUUAAAAGACACUAAUUCUCUGUGUAUAAAUAAUUGUAUCAAAUGC
ensembl:lncRNA